rnacentral:rRNA from 1 species
UGGGGAAUCUUGCGCAAUGCACGAAAGUGUGACGCAGCAACGCCGCGUGCGGGAAGAAGGUCUUCGGAUCGUAAACCGCUUUCAGUUGGGACGAGGGUUACACGGUGAAUAGCCGGCGUAACUGACGGUACCUUCAGAAGAAGCCCCGGCUAACUACGUGCCAGCAGCCGCGGUAAUACGUAGGGGGCAAGCGUUAUCCGGAAUCAUUGGGCGUAAAGCGCGUGUAGGCGGUUCCGUAAGUCCGCUCUGAAAGCCCAGGGCUCAACCCUGGGAGGCGGGUGGAUACUACGGAACUGGAGUACGGAAGAGGAGAUUGGAAUUCCUGGUGUAGCGGUGAAAUGCGCAGAUAUCAGGAGGAACACCAACAGCGAAGGCAGAUCUCUGGGACGUUACUGACGCUGAGACGCGAAAGCGUGGGGAGCAAACAGGAUUAGAUACCCUGGUAGUCCACGCCGUAACGAUGAAUACUAGGUGUAGGGGGUAUC